AAAUGAAGAGCAGCUGCUCUUCAGUUUUAGAGCUAGAAAUAGCAAGUUAAAAUAAGGCUAGUCCGUUAUCAACUUGAAAAAGUGGCACCGAGUCGGUGC
rnacentral:guide_RNA from 1 species